ACCCUCCGAAGUGCCCCUGAGAUUCCUGGAGCCCCCCCUGAAACUCACUGGCUCCCCUGAAACGCCACUGAGACACUAAAGCAACUAUGAGGCCCUUUGUAACGCUUAUGAGACCCCCUGAUACGCCCCUGAAACAUCCUAAACUCCCUGGAGCCCCUUGGGACCUAGCAUGGGACCUCUUGAAAUGCCUGUGAGACCCCAUGGAACCCCUUGAGAUGCUCCUGAGACUCUCUUUAAUGUCUCUGAGACCUCCCGCUACACGCCGAGACCGUCUGGAAUGCCCUGGUAAUACUCCUGAGAUCCCCUGAAAUCCUCCGAAACGCCACUGGGAUUCCCUGAAACACUCUUGAAAUUUUCUGGAACUCCUCUGGAGUUCCCUGAGAUUCCUUAAAUCCCGUGUGGCCCACUGGAAUAAUCUCAAACGCCCAAAGACUCUUUGAAGCGCCUUUGUUGUCUCCCAUAAACGCUAUAGUUACCACCACUAUUACAUUUUUACGCACAAUAUUGGUUCUGAAUAGCCCUCCCUCUUUUUAUGAAGGGCAUAAUAAAGGUGCAUAAAAAUAGCCUGCAUAAAAAAGUUUUAGUGUACUUUUUUUUCAAGAAAAUCGUCAAUAUCUUUUGAUCGCACGACGCGCACGGAAAUAUACAUUUUUGGAAGCUCUAAAUAGUGGUUCUUGAACGGCUUUUGAGAAAUCCGGAAAAAAAGAUAGAGCGAUGAAACGAUUUGUUCUAGCGCCACCUUAUGAAAACUACACACUUAAUCUCCAAAUUUGAUCUCGGUAAACAUGAAUAACGAACUCAAUCGGUAAAAGUUAUUUAUACUGAAAUGUCGUUAAAAUUUGACAGUUCAUCAAAAAUAACUUGGCAAAAAUAACGAAAUUCAGUAAUUUACGUUCAUUGCCGAAUCUCGGCAAACUUUUUUGCCACAGCAAUCGGCAAUCUAAUCAUGUUACUGAAUUUCGGUAAAGCGCAUCUGUCAAAAAUGAAAAUGAAGAGCGCUGCCGGGUGCCAUCUUGGAAAAAAAGGAUUUUUUUGAAGCGAAUCAUCGCUCGAAUGAUUAUCUCUCUGUUAUUUUGGUGAUGAAGCGCUGCAGGAGGACUGCCGGAUCCUCUCUUCCAAGGUGCCUGUUUGUUUGCUGCCGGAGUUAACCAGCCGAAGCAAAAAUGGUCCGAAGGUAUGAACAAACUGCAUGUAAAUCCACAGGAAAAAAGGCUCCCCGUAAGCAGCUGGCCUAAAAGACCCCAAAAGUGUUGCCUCGACCGGUGGAGUGAAGAAGCUGCAUCGUUACCUGCCGGGAACGGUAAUUCUGCGAGAAAUCCGUCGUUACCAAAAAUCCACCGAUUUACUGCUUAAUCCGCAAGUUGCCGAUCCAGCGCACAAUGGUUUAUUUUCCGAUUUUCACGCUCUUAAUUAAUAGCUCGAACGAUUGAGGAAAUAGAGCAAUGGUGUCUUCGGCAAAGUUGACGGGAAUGACCAGCGUCAUCUUUUGACAGUUAGAGUUUUCGGAUCAAUCCCCCUAAAAGUGAGAUACAAAAUUAAAAUUUUUAAAUUGUUGAGAUAGAGGGUUGACGUCUUCGGCAAAGUUGUAGCAUUUUUGAUUCCAAACAACUUUUCUGAAGACGUCAAUAUUGUAUUUUUACACCAAUGGAGACAGAGGCCUGUGUUUGAAAGUUAGCCCCAAAAACACGUUUUUUAAGAAAAACAUAUAUUUGUUGAAUUUUCAGACCCAUACAAUGUUCUGCAAAGUUGUAUGUAUCUAUAAAAUACGUAACUUUGCUCAAGACAGCUGUGGGAAUUAAAUGAGACGAGUUAUAGAUAAAUUUAUGAUUUUUUUUCAUCCACUUUUAGGGAUAAAUAUCUUUCUUAGGGGCAAAAAGGUACAGCUGGGGAUACCCUUAUCAGAAAGUGCAUCUAAAGAGCUUUCAAAUAAAGGUUAGAUUGUCCGUCCACGAUCGUCUACUGAGGAGAUAUGACCAUAAUAAAAAAUGUCCAUACUACGAUUUAAGGUGAAACGGGACGCCGUGUUAUUUUUCCUAUCUUGCCUCUCUUUCUAACAAUUUGCCUCGCGAUUUUGAAGAUGGUAAUCUCGAGACCUAUCGCACUGAAGAUGCUGAAAACCAAUCAGCAUAUGCACU